rnacentral:rRNA from 1 species
CCUACGGGCGGCAGCAGUAGGGAAUAUUGCUCAAUGGGGGAAACCCUGAAGCAGCAACGCCGCGUGGAGGAUGAAGGUUUUCGGAUUGUAAACUCCUUUUGUUAGAGAAGAUAAUGACGGUAUCUAACGAAUAAGCACCGGCUAACUCCGUGCCAGCAGCCGCGGUAAUACGGAGGGUGCAAGCGUUACUCGGAAUCACUGGGCGUAAAGGGCGCGUAGGCGGGAUAGCAAGUCAGAUGUGAAAUCCUAUGGCUUAACCAUAGAACUGCAUUUGAAACUGUUAUUCUAGAGUAUGGGAGAGGUAGGUGGAAUUCUUGGGGUAGGGGUAAAAUCCGUAGAGAUCAAGAGGAAUACUCAUUGCGAAGGCGACCUGCUAGAACAUAACUGACGCUGAUGCGCGAAAGCGUGGGGAGCAAACAGGAUUAGAUACCCCAGUAGUC